GAUGAACGCUAGCGGGAGGCUUAACACAUGCAAGUCGAACGCCGUAGCAAUACGGAGUGGCAGACGGGUGAGUAACACGUGGGAACGUACCCUUUGGUUCGGAAUAACACAGAGAAAUUUGUGCUAAUACCGGAUAAGUGCGAGAGCAGAAAGAUUUAUCGCCGAAGGAUCGGCCCGCGUCCGAUUAGCUAGUUGGUGAGGUAAUGGCUCACCAAGGCGACGAUCGGUAGCUGGUCUGAGAGGAUGAUCAGCCACACUGGGACUGAGACACGGCCCAGACUCCUACGGGAGGCAGCAGUGGGGAAUAUUGGACAAUGGGCGCAAGCCUGAUCCAGCCAUGCCGCGUGAGUGAUGAAGGCCCUAGGGUUGUAAAGCUCUUUCGCCAGGGACGAUAAUGACGGUACCUGGAUAAGAAGCCCCGGCUAACUUCGUG
rnacentral:rRNA from 1 species